rnacentral:rRNA from 1 species
ACAGCAGUAGCCACGGUAAUACGUAGGUGGCAAGCGUUGUUCGGAAUUAUUGGGCGUAAAGGGCUCGCAGGCGGUUUCUUAAGUCUGAUGUGAAAGCCCCCGGCUCAACCGGGGAGGGUCACUGGAAACUGGGAAACUUGAGUGCAGAAGAGGAGAGUGGAAUUCCACGUGUAGCGGUGAAAUGCGUAGAGAUGUGGAGGAACACCAGUGGCGAAGGCGACUCUCUGGUCUGUAACUGACGCUGAGGAGCGAAAGCGUGGGGAGCGAACAGGAUUAGAUACCCCGGUAGUCCCUGUCUCUUAUAC